UACGGAGGAUGCGAGCGUUAUCCGGAUUUAUUGGGUUUAAAGGGUGCGUAGGCGGAAUAUCAAGUCAGCGGUAAAAAUUCGGGGCUCAACCCCGUCGUGCCGUUGAAACUGAUGUUCUUGAGUGGGCGAGAAGUAUGCGGAAUGCGUGGUGUAGCGGUGAAAUGCAUAGAUAUCACGCAGAACUCCGAUUGCGAAGGCAGCAUACCGGCGCCCAACUGACGCUGAAGCACGAAAGUGCGGGGAUCGAACAGG
rnacentral:rRNA from 1 species